CUGCUUUGGCAGCACAUCUGCUAGAGUUGGAAUAGCACAGAGAAGAUCAGCAUGGGCCCUGUGCAAGGAUGACACACAAAUCUGUGAAGUGUUCCAUAUUAAA